rnacentral:piRNA from 1 species
UGGGAGUUUUGAAUGAGUUCUUUGUGAUGC